GGGUUGCUAACUCAACGGUAGAGUACUCGGCUUUUAACCGACUAGUUCCGGGUU
rnacentral:tRNA from 1 species